CUCUCUUUCUCUCUCCCUCUCUCUCUCUCUCUCUCCCAUGACUCCCUCCCCUUCUCUGUAGAAAUCCAGCCCCGUUCUUCAUUGGUUCGACGAUCUGAAGUUGCCGCGUCACUUGUGGGAAGAUUCUCUGUAUAUCUGCUGGAGUAAUUUGUUGGUUAAGCUCACUUGGGAACCAUCCCAAAAUUUGGGGUGUUGAGUUAGGGAACACACGAGCGUAAUUUUGGAGUAAAUUGUGGGCUUUUCCAUAAGUCAAGUAAGGAGAUAAACUAAGUCAAUUUUCUAAUAAAAAUAUAUUUAUUAUUUAACAGAAUUUAAUUUCAGGUAAAUAUGUAUAUUGCAGUAUUAUGUUGGAAAUAAUGUUGUUGAUCAGAAAUAUGGUUUUCAUGUAUAAUAUCAAAAAUAUGACUUUAGAACAGAUUUUAUAUACUAGAUAUUACCCCUUUUGUGUGGCAUGAAUAACAUUUACCAUGGAAACUAUGAUGAUGAAAUAUUAUGUUUUCAGAAUAAGCACGUUAUUACUAUUUUCAAGAAAAUGUCAAAAACGAUACAGAGAUUUUCAAACUAUGGAUUUGAUAUGAUAUGCCGGCGUAAGGGCCAUAGAUUUUAUAUGAUAUGUUGGUGUAAGGGCUGUAGAUUUUAUAUGAUAUGCCGGCGUAAGGGCCGUAGAUUUUAUAUGAUAUGUCGGCGUAAGGGCCGUAGAUUUUAUAUGCUAUGCUGACAUAAGGGCCGUGAAUUUUAUAUGAUAUGUUAUGCAAGGUUUUAUGAAAAUAUUAACAUGACAGAUAUUAUUAUGAAAUAGUAAUGUAUCAUUAUUUGGGAAUAUACUAUAUGUUAUCAGAACUUGGUUGGCUUGGUUUAGGCUUUCGCGAAGUACGAUACCGUAACUAUAUGAUCACAAUCAUUUAUAUGUUAGUGCUACCACUUGCUGUAAGGGGUAGUGGGAGAUCGGCAGUCGAUGUGAUUUUAUGAUAGUGUAGGCAUCCCUCUAGUGUCCGAACCAGAAGGGGCAGACCCAUCGUACUUACAGAAUUAUGUUGAUCUAGCGUGGUCGGCCAGCUAUUGCAAGGUCCCGCCUUCGAGCCGCACAACCCAGUCAUGUUGGGGUAGGACAUAAUACCAACCAGCUAACCAUCCAUGGUGUAUUUCAUGUACAGUUAUACGAGAUGAUUUUUAUGUAUAGAAACUCAGUAUGAUAUAUCAUGUUAUGAGAAAUUAUGUUUUUCCCAUAUAUGUUAUAGACAACUUUAAUAAAUAUGAUUUAUGUAUUGUUCUACGUAU